AGUGAACGCUGGCGGUAGGCCUAACACAUGCAAGUCGAACGGCAGCACAGUAAGAGCUUGCUCUUACGGGUGGCGAGUGGCGGAAGGGUGCGGAAUACAUCGGAAUAUACUUUUUCGUGGGGGAUAACGUAGGGAAACUUAUGCUAAUACCGCAUACGACCUACGGGUGGAAGCAGGGGAUCUUCUGACCUUGUGCGAUUGAAUGAGCCUAUAUCGGUUGAGCUAGUUGGCGGGGUAGAGGCACACCAAGGCGACGAUGAGAAGCUGGUCCGAGGGGAAGACCAGACACACUGUAACUGAGGCACGGGCCAGACUCCGAGGCGAGGCAGCAGUGGGGAAUAUUGCACAAGGCGCGAAAGCCGAAUCCAGCCAUACCGCGUGGGUGAAGAAGCCCUUCGGCUUGUAGAGCCCUUUUGUUGUGAAAGAAAAACAGCAGGUUAAUACCCCGCUGUUCUGACGGUACCCAAAGAAUAAGCACCGGCUAACUUCGUG
rnacentral:rRNA from 1 species